rnacentral:rRNA from 1 species
UACGGAGGGGGCUAGCGUUGUUCGGAAUUACUGGGCGUAAAGCGCACGUAGGCGGCUUUGCAAGUUAGAGGUGAAAGCCCGGGGCUCAACCCCGGAAUAGCCUUUAAGACUGCAUCGCUUGAAUCCAGGAGAGGUGAGUGGAAUUCCGAGUGUAGAGGUGAAAUUCGUAGAUAUUCGGAAGAACACCAGUGGCGAAGGCGGCUCACUGGACUGGUAUUGACGCUGAGGUGCGAAAGCGUGGGGAGCAAACAGG